GAUGAACGCUGGCGGCGUGCUUAACACAUGCAAGUCGAACGAAGCAUUUGCGACAGAUUUUUUCGGAAUGAAGUUGCUUAUGACUGAGUGGCGGACGGGUGAGUAACGCGUGGGUAACCUGCCUUGUACUGGGGGAUAGCAGCUGGAAACGGCUGGUAAUACCGCAUAAGCGCACAAUGUUGCAUGACAUGGUGUGAAAAACUCCGGUGGUAUAAGAUGGACCCGCGUCUGAUUAGCUAGUUGGUGAGAUAACAGCCCACCAAGGCGACGAUCAGUAGCCGACCUGAGAGGCUGACCGGCCACAUUGGGACUGAGACACGGCCCAGACUCCUACGGGAGGCAGCAGUGGGGAAUAUUGCACAAUGGAGGAAACUCUGAUGCAGCGACGCCGCGUGAGUGAAGAAGUAAUUCGUUAUGUAAAGCUCUAUCAGCAGGGAAGAUAGUGACGGUACCUGACUAAGAAGCUCCGGCUAAAUACGUG
rnacentral:rRNA from 1 species